GCCAGUGAUGGUUGGAGCGGACUGAUACUAAUCGAUCGAGGACUUAACCA
rnacentral:rRNA from 1 species